GCACUAAUAGAAUAUUUAGUUCAUGGCUUUGAAGCAGCUAGGGAGGUUAUAUAUAGCCUUGGUGUA
rnacentral:tRNA from 1 species